rnacentral:rRNA from 1 species
AGUGAACGCUGGCGGUAGGCCUAACACAUGCAAGCCGAACGGCAGCACAGUAAGAGCUUGCUCUUACGGGUGGCGAGUGGCGGACGGGUGAGGAUUACAUCGGAAUCUACUUUUUCGUGGGGGAUAACGUAGGGAAACUUACGCUAAUACCGCAUACGACCUACGGGUGAAAGCAGGGGAUCUUCGGACCUUGCGCGAUUGAAUGAGCCGAUGUCGGAUUAGCUAGUUGGCGGGGUAAAGGCCCACCAAGGCGACGAUCCGUAGCUGGUCUGAGAGGAUGAUCAGCCACACUGGAACUGAGACACGGUCCAGACUCCUACGGGAGGCAGCAGUGGGGAAUAUUGGACAAUGGGCGCAAGCCUGAUCCAGCCAUACCGCGUGGGUGAAGAAGGCCUUCGGGUUGUAAAGCCCUUUUGUUGGGAAAGAAAAGCAGCAGGUUAAUACCCCGCUGUUCUGACGGUACCCAAAGAAUAAGCACCGGCUAACUUCGUG